AUUGAACGCUGGCGGCAUGCCUUACACAUGCAAGUCGAACGGCAGCAUGGGUGCUUGCACCUGAUGGCGAGUGGCGAACGGGUGAGUAAUGCAUCGGAACGUGCCCUGAAGUGAGGGAUAACGUAGCGAAAGUUACGCUAAUACCGCAUAUUCUGUGAGCAGGAAAGCAGGGGAUCGCAAGACCUUGUGCUUUAGGAGCAGCCGAUGUCGGAUUAGCUAGUUGGUGAGGUAAAGGCUCACCAAGGCGACGAUCCGUAGCGGGUCUGAGAGGAUGAUCCGCCACACGGGGACUGAGACACGGCCCAGACUCCUACGGGAGGCAGCAGUGGGGAAUUUUGGACAAUGGGCGCAAGCCUGAUCCAGCCAUGCCGCGUGAGUGAAGAAGGCCUUCGGGUUGUAAAGCUCUUUCGGUGGGGAAGAAAUGGUUUCGGUUAAUACCCGGAAUUGAUGACGGUACCCGCAUAAGAAGCACCGGCUAACUACGUGCCAGCAGCCGCAGUAA
rnacentral:rRNA from 1 species